UACAGAGGGGGCUAGCGUUAUUCGGAAUUAUUGGGCGUAAAGGGCGCGUAGGCGGCCAUGCGUGUCUUCCGUGAAAUCCCUCGGCUUAACUGAGGACGUGCGGAAGAAACUGCAAGGCUCGAGUCCGGGAGAGGGGGGGUGGAAUUCCCAGUGUAGCGGUGAAAUGCGUAGAUAUUGGGAGGAACACCGGUGGCGAAGGCGGCCCCCUGGACCGGUACUGACGCUGAGGCGCGAAAGCGUGGGUAGCAAACGGG
rnacentral:rRNA from 1 species